CGGUUGAUCCCGCCGGACCUGACUGCUAUCGGAUUUGGUACUAAGCCAUGCGAGUCAUUGUAGCAAUACAAGGCGGACGGCUCAGUAACACGUAGUCAACCUAACUCGUGGACGUGGAUAACCUCGGGAAACUGAGAAUAAACCACGAUAGAUCAUAGUGCCUGGAAUGGCUUAUGGUCCAAACAGUUUACUGCCAUGGGAUGGGACUGCGGCCUAUCAGCUUGUUGGUGAGGUAAUGGCCCACCAAGGCGAUUACAGGUACGGGCUCUGAGAGGAGUAGCCCGGAGAUGGGUACUGAGACACGGACCCAGGCCCUAUGGGGCGCAGCAGGCGAGAAACCUUAGCAAUGCGCGAAAGCACGACUGGGUCAGUCCGAGUGAUUCCUGAUAAAGGAGUCUUUUGCUUGUCCUAAAAGCACAGGUGAAUAAGGGGUGGGCAAGUCUGGUGUCAGCCGCCGCGGUAAUACCAGCACCUCGAGUGGUCAGGACGUUUAUUGGGCCUAAAGCAUCCGUAGCCGGCUCUGCAAGUCUUCGGUUAAAUCCACCUGCUCAACAGAUGGGCCGCUGGAGAUACUACAGAGCUAGGGAGUGGGAGAGGCAGACGGUAUUCAGUGGGUAGGGGUAAAAUCCUCUGAUCCAUUGAGGACCACCAGUGGCGAAAGCGGUCUGCCAGAACACGUUCGACGGUGAGGGAUGAAAGCUGGGGGAGCAAACCGGAUUAGAUACCCGGGUAGUCCCAGCUGUAAACGAUGCAAACUCGGUGAUGCAUUGGCUUAUGGCCAAUGCAGUGCCGCAGGGAAGCCGUUAAGUUUGCCGCCUGGGAAGUACGGACGCAAGUCUGAAACUUAAAGGAAUUGGCGGGGGAGCA
rnacentral:rRNA from 1 species